GGAGAGGUGGCAGAGUGGUCGAAUGCGGCAGACUCGAAAUCUGUUGAGGGGCCUAGCUCCUCCGAGGGUUCGAAUCCCUCCUUCUCCGCCA
rnacentral:tRNA from 1 species